CGAUUGUGAAAACCUAGAUCGCGAUUCACUCCCCAAUCCCCGUCCAUCCGCUCCUCCCCCAAUCCCCAUCUCUCCUCCUCCCCAACCGUGGCGGCGCGCCCAUUCCUCCGGCCUUCCACCCGCGGCUGCAUCCCGACUACAGCGGUUGGAUGGCGACGGUCAGAGGUGGCGGACGACAGUGCGUGCCGAUUGAGGGCAACGCGGAGAAGAAGCAGCGGGGGCGGCACAGAGAAGAAGCAGCAGGGCGGCUCCGCCUCUUCCAGCUGGUGGGGUGGAGCUGCAAGUAGAGGAAGCCCACACGACGGCAGGGCGGCGACCCCACGACCUCCAGCAUCCUCACCUCCUCAAGCCCCGGUUGUAACGCCAUCAACACGGAGAGUGGCGGCGGUGCGGCGCUGCGAGCUUGAGAAGAUCGUCCACAGCCAGCCAGGGCUCGAGAUAUGGCGGAUCGAGGGCUGCAGCAGCGCUGGGGUCGAUAUAGGUGGUGGUGGAGGCCGCCUCCUCUCCUCCUCCCCCAAUUCUUCCGCUCCUAAAGGCAGUGGUGGAGGCUCGCCGAACCCAGACGGCCGACAUGCCUAGGAGACGCGGGUUUGCUCAGGUUUUCUUUUCCCUCAUUUCUCCACUCUUCAUCUCUGUCUAUCUCUAGCAGCUCUCAUUCUCGUUUCUCUACUUCUUUCCGUGGACAAGGGCGCAGCUGCAAGGAACUAGGCAGUAGGUGUGAGUCAAGACGGCGAGCAGCAGCGGCGGAGGGCGAUGGCACGCCUCCUCCUCUCCUCUCCCAGGUCGCCCCCAUCCAUCUCGUCUUCUCUCAUUCCGACCAAGAUCCAAGGCUCCCUCUCGAUCUCUCUCCUCUUGGUGUUCAGCGGCACAAGGCAUUGGAGGAGGACUGCCAGGAGGUGGUUGCUGCUUCCCUAGAAUCCAUGAGGAAGCUAGAGCUCCCGGCCCCCCUUUGCUACAGACCUAGGUUAAAAAGGCGCUGGCUAGCUAACUGUUCUUUCAAGCUGGUAAACCAUAUGUGGUGGUUCGAAGCUUGGUCACCCCUCCGUGGUGCCCAGCUGCAGUCCUGGAUGUGGAGGAGGAGCAGGAUAUCCUGGAGAAAGCGAGCGUGCCAGUGGCGGCUUGAGUGAUGCAGGCGUCGGUCAGCAGAUAAACUUUUUCUUGUCACAUAUCCUAUGUAGUGUCCAUCCCGGUUCUGGGGAAUUGAUUUGGGCAACUCUUGAAGUUUGGUUCUCACAUAUUGGUCCUGAAAGAUAAUGUUUGUGCAAGUGGCCAAUUGAUGUUACGCUUAUUUGAAAGCCAUAAGGAAGUCAGUGAUGAAGGAGCUGACCAUCAUCGAAUGCAUCGGUUGCUAUCCAAUCCAUGUAUAUUGCAAGCCCGGUACGAUGGUGGCCAAAUGGGGUUUGACACAAGGGGCAAGGCUGGAUGGAGCUUUCAGGGCCUCCGGUUUGGCGGUGGCAUGCGACUAUCAUAUAGGAAGUGGUUACCAUAAUGCAGCGGGCAAAAAACAAGUUGUUGCUAAAUGGUUAGCAAGACCGUUCGGACUGAAUAAAUGUCAAGAAGCUGUAAAAGAUGAUUCAGGGGUCACUGCAGAGGAUGGAAUUAGAUAGAGGAACGCACACAUAGAGGUAUAACCUGAAGGGAGGAGCAAGGAUAUGGUGAUGUGCUUUGAUGGUGGAGCCGGGUGUCACGGUCAUGGCCUUUCCUUUUUGCCGCUGGUGGCGCUAGAUGGCAUCGACGGCAUGGAGUCAAACCUUUGACCAACAACAACGACAAGGAAAAUUUAUUGAGACGCAAUAAUCAAGACAAAAGCAGCAAAAUUCUGAAGAGGGAGUACUUCGCGGGGGUGAGCUAGGUGGAGGCGCGAAUCGAGCUAAGGUUGGCGGCGCGGAAGCGAGCGUGAGUCGCAAGUGCAGGUGGGGGAGUGGAGGCGAUGCUGCGAGCGCUGAGUGAAGGCUGGCGGCGCGUAAGCGAGUGUGGGUCACGGGCGGAGCUGAGUGGUCACCAGCGUCUCUUUGCCGGCCAAAGGGGAGGCGACGACGGUUGGACAAGCAGGCAAGGGAGGACCGGACCAGGGAAGGUGUUGCAGCAGCGAUAUCCAUGGGGAAGCGGAGAGAGGCCAGUGGGAGGCUUUCUCAGCCAUGAUUCCGCCUCUGGGACGCCGAAUGAGACGCCGAACCGUGUCCAUCUCCGCCCUGAAGGCUAUGCACCGCCAUGGAAGGUCCACCACAGCCCCGCCGACUCUCCAAGAUGGCGCCUCUUCCUCGUCACGCGGGGCAGCGACGACGACGGCCAUCUUUGGUGGAUCCGGCUGCCUAGCGGUCACCGGCACAGUGUUAGGUAAAUUCUGGGGCAGGCAGCGAAUGGCUGAUGGUGUGAAUGCCUGUGGCUGAUGGCGUGGAUGGCUGCCACCGAGUACUUAGUUAGCGGAUUAGAUGGGGUGGAGGUAAUGGAGGGAGGGUGCGGAUGUCCGUGAACGAAUACUCGGUCAAUGGAUUAGAUGGGCGGAGGGAAUGGAAGAAGGUGUAGCAGAUCAAGGCGGAGAGGUAGGGAGAUAGGUUAAAAGGAAUCGCCAUGGAGAUGGAAGGUAUCAGCCGAGAAUAGUGGUGGAAAUUGUUUUCACGGGGCAAACAUUUGUGAUAGUUUCUGGUUCCUUUGUAUCGGUUAAGGGGCCUAAAAUCUCGAACCAAACUAUUUCUGUCCUGCUACUCACAAUAAAUAGAAAUAUUUUUCUUGGAAUUAGUAACUGUUCUUUUAUGCUUAUUUUAUAAUGCUACUUCUUUCGCUACAAUAACCAUGCUAAGUUAGUGUGAAAGCAUAAAAGCUGAAAAAAAUAGUGUGAAAUCAUGCUAAAUUAUUAUAUCUUACUUCAGCACUUGGGCUAAUUCUUAAUACUGAAAUAAGCUAAAAUUUAUGGUUCAAAAUUGCUGAACGGCAUUUCUUCUUAUGUGCUAAUGGUAUUGUUUGCAUUUGGUAAAUGAAUAUGUAACUCUGCAAACAUAUUUCAACAUGCAUGUAUUGGCUCUAGGAUAUGACAAGAUGAAUAUGAUAGGAUCAUAUGUCUUUUGGAGUGUCUCUGCUUCUGUGUGAAAUUGGAGCUUUCUGUUUAUAAUCUAUUAUUUGGUUGUUUGAUUUGGUGUAUAAAUCCUAAGAAAGGUAUUAUGUACUUCAUAGUGUUUGUGAGGCUCUGACCCUGCUGUUGGACGUGAUUUACAAAGCAUCAAACAAUGAGCUUGGACAAGAGGGCGAUGAUGUUGUUAACACAGAGAAAACAAAGAGGAAUAUCAAUGUCUGGAGGAAGCUUCAUCGCCACCGUCCGUCGCUUCUUGUCGUCUUCCACCACCAGUUCUCCAGUGUGAUGUUCACCGGCCAUGCUGCAACGACAUCCGCGGGCUCACCAUUCUCCUGCUCUAGCCCCUUGCUCACUAUCCAUGCCGGCAUUCCAUGGUAGAGUCAUUAUGGAUGGGAAGGAGCGAAGGGCUGAGCAUCCGCGUGGAUGAUGUGCAUCAUGACUCUCGGUGACUAUCGUCUCUGUCCCUUGCUCUUCGUCCAACUUCCUUGAGCCACAAGGGGUGUUGACUGUCGAGUGAGCAGCAACACCAAAUAAAGCAGCCUGCAUGUAUCUAUGCAGAUUGUUCUUUGCAGAUUUGUCACUUGUGGUGGUGUUUAGACAAUUCUCUGUUGUCAGGUUUCUUUUCUCAACGAGGCUUAUUAUCGGAGAAACCGGCGAUAAUGAUGUAUAGUGAUCUUGGUAUGCGAGUAUGAUCAGGACCACUUGGUCUGGCCUGCGCACAUUUUUUCUUUACUUCUUAGUAAGGAUCUGGUGUAUUCUUACUGAAUGAAAUGAGGCUUAUUAUCGGAGAAACCGGCGAUAAUGAUGUAUAGUGAUCUUGGUAUGCGAGUAUGAUCAGGACCACUUGGUCUGGCCUGCGCACAUUUCUUCUUUACUUCUUAGUAAGGAUCUGGUGUAUUCUUACUGAAUGAAAUGAGGUUACUUCAACUGUACUUAUUUUCAAUUGUACUUAUUGUAUGUGUUGAUGGAACCCAAAAAGUAACAUGUUAUACACAUUUAUUUCUCUUUGCUAUGAACAAAUGGUUGGAUGCAACAAAUGAUGCUCCUGGUAUGUACAUGUGUUAUCUUAGACAGU